GAGAAGGAACACACAACAAUACGGAAAUUGUAGUGAACGAGUUCGCUUAAACGAUUUAAAACGCCGAAUCAGCAAAUGCGGUCGCAGUGGCACGUGAAAAGCCACCGAUGCAGCAACAACAAUACCCGUAACUGUAAUUCAGUAAUGAGGUGAAGGGGAAAAUGUCAACAACAACAACAAUAAAUUUGCCUUCAAUAUCGAUGGGGAGAGAGAGUAAAGCCAAUCAAUAUAUGCGGUCUUUCAGUGGAAAAGUUGUGAGUUGAAAUUACUUGGAAAGUCAAAGAAAUUAUUUAAAAGGCGCAAAAAUAAAAAACAAAACUGUAAAAGAAACGGAAGUUCAUUAAGUGUGCAAAUUAAGUAAAUGCAACGAAGAAGAAAGUGUGAAAAGUCAAAAUGAUUAAUUGAUGGUGAAUAAACGAAUGAGCGAAU